AGACCAGUCCAAACCAGUUCAGACCAGUUCAAACCGGAGCCAGCUGAAAUGUGGGAUUAUAAAUGGAUCCCAAAAAUCCCCAAAAUCCCGGAGCAAUUCCCUUCUUUUCUUGUGUGAUUGGAGUAAAAUGGGAGCUGAUCCCAGUUCAGACCAGUCCAAACCAGUUCAGACCAGUUCAGACCAGUUCAGACCAGUUCAAACCGGUUCAGACCAGUUCAAGUUCCUGAGAUAAUAAAUGGGAAAAGCCCAAUCCCCA
rnacentral:lncRNA from 1 species